rnacentral:rRNA from 1 species
GCAAAGGGAAAAACAUGCUCAUCAAACACAACAUCCCGAGAGAUGUAGACACGAUUAGUGGGCACAUGAAGACAUUUGUAUCCUUUAUGAAGAGAGCUAUAACCAAGAAAAACACACUUCUUGGAACGAAACUCGAGCUUACGCUUGUUAUAUGGACGGAGAUGGGGCCAGCAAGCACACCCAAACACCUUGAGAAAGGUGUAGUCCGGUUGUUCAUUAAGGAGAACUUCAAUGGGAGUCUUCAUAUUCAAAACACGAGUGGGAGUACGAUUGAUGAGAAAACAUGCAGUGGUGAAAGCAUCACUCCAAAAACGAAACGGAACAGAUGCAUGGGCCAAAAGAGUCAGACCAGCUUCAACAAUGUGACGAUGCUUACGUUCUACUGAACCAUUCUGCUGAUGUGUAUGUGGACAUGCUAAACGGUGAGUGAUCCCAAGCGACUGAAAAAAGGAGUUGAGGUUGCGAUACUCGCCACCCCAGUCCGACUGAACAUGAACAAUUUUGUGCUUGAGAAGGCGUUCAACAUGUUUUUGGAACUGAACAAAAAUGUCAAACACAUCAGAUUUACGUUUGAUAAGAUAAAGCUAGGUAAAGCGGCUGUAAGCAUCAACAAAACUGAUAUAGUAAUUAUGACCACUAACAGAAGUCUGAGCAGGACCCCAUACAUCUGAAAACACAAGUUCUAAAGGAUGUUUCACCUCACGACUGGACUCCGAAAAAGGAAGUUGAUGACUCUUCCCCUGCUGACAAGCAUCACACACUGCUACAUCUUUAUUACUAGACACACUAGGAAGCUCAUGACGACGCAAAACAUGCCGGACAAUAGGUGUGGCCGGGUGACCAAGACGAGCAUGCCACUGUGACGGAGAUACCCGAACUCCACUGAAGACGCGAGCGACGCCAGGAUGCUCCAGACGAUAGAGACCUUGGCAGAGCCGCCCACUAAGAAGAAUGUCCCUCGUGCCCCGAUCCUUAAUAAAAAGAUCAAAAGGAUGAAAUUCACAAAGCACAUUAUUAUCACGAGUGAGUUUAGG